rnacentral:rRNA from 1 species
CUACGGGCCGCUGCAGUGAGGAAUAUUGCACAAUGGGGGGAACCCUGAUGCAGCAACGCCGCGUGGAGGAUGACGCAUUUCGGUGUGUAAACUCCUUUUAUAUGUCAAGAAAAUGACGGUAGCAUAUGAAUAAGCACCGGCUAACUCCGUGCCAGCAGCCGCGGUAAUACGGAGGGUGCAAGCGUUACUCGGAAUCACUGGGCGUAAAGGACGCGUAGGCGGGAUAUCAAGUCAGGUGUGAAAUCCUACAGCUUAACUGUAGAACUGCACUUGAAACUUCUAAUCUAGAGUAUGGGAGGGGGAGAUGGAAUUAGUGGUGUAGGGGUAAAAUCCGUAGAUAUCACUAGGAAUACCUAAAGCGAAGGCGAUCUCCUGGAACAUUACUGACGCUAAGGCGUGAAAGCGUGGGGAGCAAACAGGAUUAGAUACCCGUGUAGUC